UGAACCUGCGGAGGGAUCAUUACCGAGUUUACAACUCCCAAACCCCUGUGAACAUACCUUAUGUUGCCUCGGCGGAUCAGCCCGCGCCCCGUAAAAAGGGACGGCCCGCCGCAGGAACCCUAAACUCUGUUUUUAGUGGAACUUCUGAGUAUAAAAAACAAAUAAAUCAAAACUUUCAACAACGGAUCUCUUGGUUCUGGCAUCGAUGAAGAACGCAGCAAAAUGCGAUAAGUAAUGUGAAUUGCAGAAUUCAGUGAAUCAUCGAAUCUUUGAACGCACAUUGCGCCCGCCAGUAUUCUGGCGGGCAUGCCUGUUCGAGCGUCAUUUCAACCCUCAAGCCCAGCUUGGUGUUGGGAGCUGCAGUCCUGCUGCACUCCCCAAAUACAUUGGCGGUCACGUCGAGCUUCCAUAGCGUAGUAAUUUACACAUCGUUACUGGUAAUCGUCGCGGCCACGCCGUUAAACCCCAACUUCUGAAUGUUGACCUCGGAUCAGGUAGGAAUACCCGCUGAACUUAAGCAUAUCAAUA
rnacentral:rRNA from 1 species